GGGGAGGCCUAUACUGCAGUCGAGCGAGCUUGCCUAGAUGAUUUUAGUGCUUGCACUAAAUGAAACUAGAUACAAGCGAGCGGCGGACGGGUGAGUAACACGUGGGUAACCUGCCCAAGAGACUGGGAUAACACCUGGAAACAGAUGCUAAUACCGGAUAACAACACUAGACGCAUGUCUAGAGUUUGAAAGAUGGUUCUGCUAUCACUCUUGGAUGGACCUGCGGUGCAUUAGCUAGUUGGUAAGGUAACGGCUUACCAAGGCAAUGAUGCAUAGCCGAGUUGAGAGACUGAUCGGCCACAUUGGGACUGAGACACGGCCCAAACUCCUACGGGAGGCAGCAGUAGGGAAUCUUCCACAAUGGACGAAAGUCUGAUGGAGCAACGCCGCGUGAGUGAAGAAGGGUUUCGGCUCGUAAAGCUCUGUUGGUAGUGAAGAAAGAUAGAGGUAGUAACUGGCCUUUAUUUGACGGUAAUUACUUAGAAAGUCACGGCUAACUACGUGCCAGCAGCCGCGGUAAUACGUAGGUGGCAAGCGUUGUCCGGAUUUAUUGGGCGUAAAGCGAGUGCAGGCGGUUCAAUAAGUCUGAUGUGAAAGCCUUCGGCUCAACCGGAGAAUUGCAUCAGAAACUGUUGAACUUGAGUGCAGAAGAGGAGAGUGGAACUCCAUGUGUAGCGGUGGAAUGCGUAGAUAUAUGGAAGAACACCAGUGGCGAAGGCGGCUCUCUGGUCUGCAACUGACGCUGAGGCU
rnacentral:rRNA from 1 species